GCUGCUCGUUUCAGCAGUGUAUUAUUAAAAUUGGAAGGAUACAGAGAUGAGCACGGUCCCUGUGCAAGGAUGACACACACAUUCGUGAAGUGUUCCAUAUUUUU